GGUAUUGAGGCAGUUCUGGUAGGCAAAUCCGCCAGAAUAAUGCUAGGGUACGAUGCGGAGCGAAAUUUAGUAGCGAAGUAGCUGAUUUCACACUGUCGAGAAAAGUCUCUAUCGAGGUUAAAGGUGCCUGUACCGCAAACCGACACAGGUGGGUGAGGAGAGUAUCCUAAGGCCAGCCAGAGAACUGUUGUUAAGGAACUCGGCAAAAUGACCCCGUAACUUAGGGAGAAGGGGUGCCUUCGAAAGAAGGCCGCAGAGAAUAGGCCCAAGCGACUGUUUACCAAAAACAUAGGUUUCUGCUAAGUCGCAAGACGAUGUAUAGGAGCUGACGCCUGCCCGGUGCUGGAAGGUUAAGGGGAUCUGUUAGGGUAACCGAAGCAGUGAACUUAAGCCCCAGUAAACGGCGGCCGUAACGAUAACGGUCCUAAGGUAGCGAAAUUCCUUGUCGGGUAAGUUCCGACCCGCACGAAAGGCGUAACGAUUUGGGCACUGUCUCAACAACAGACUGGGUGAAAUUGUAAUACCGGUGAAGAUGCCGGUUACCUGCGACAGGACGGAAAGACCCCAUGGAGCUUUACUGUAGCUUGACAUUGAGUCUCGGUGCUACAUGUACAGGAUAGGUGGGAGGCUAUGAAGCAUGGACGUCAGUUUGUGUGGAGCCAUCCUUGGGAUACCACCCUUGUAGUACUGGGAUUCUAACCAGCUGCCUUGAAUCAGGUAGUGGGACACUGUCAGGUGGACAGUUUGACUGGGGCGGUCGCCUCCUAAAGAGUAACGGAGGCGCUCAAAGGUUCUCUCAGUACGGUCGGAAAUCGUACGUAGAGUGUAAAGGCAGAAGAGAGCUUGAUUGCAAGACAUACAGGUCGAGCAAGGACGAAAGUCGGACUUAGUGAUCCGGUGGUACCGCAUGGAAGGGCCAUCGCUCAACGGAUAAAAGCUACCCUGGGGAUAACAGGCUGAUCUCCCCCAAGAGUCCACAUCGACGGGGAGGUUUGGCACCUCGAUGUCGGCUCAUCACAUCCUGGGGCUGUAGUAGGUCCCAAGGGUUGGGCUGUUCGCCCAUUAAAGUGGUACGCGAGCUGGGUUCAGAACGUCGUGAGACAGUUCGGUCCCUAUCCGUCGCAGGCGUAGGAAAUUUGAGGAGACCUGUCCUUAGUACGAGAGGACCGGGAUGGACGUACCGCUGGUGGACCAGUUGUCAUGCCAAUGGCACGGCUGGGCAGCUAUGUACGGAACGGAUAAACGCUGAAAGCAUCUAAGCGUGAAGCCGACUCCAAGAUUAGAUAUCCCAUCGUAUAACGAGUAAGACCCCUUGAAGACUACGAGGUUGAUAGGCUGCGUGUGUAAGUGCCGUGAGGCAUUCAGCUUGGCAGUACUAAUAGGUCGAGGGCUUGAUC
rnacentral:rRNA from 1 species